CCUACGGGAGGCAGCAGUAAGGAAUAUUGGUCAAUGGACGCAAGUCUGAACCAGCCAUGCCGCGUGAAGGAUGAAGGCCCUCUGGGUUGUAAACUUCUUUUACAGGGGACGAAAAAAGGGAAUUCUUUCUCACUUGACGGUACCCUGGGAAUAAGCACCGGCUAACUCCGUGCCAGCAGCCGCGGUAAUACGGAGGGUGCAAGCGUUAUCCGGAUUCACUGGGUUUAAAGGGUGCGUAGGUGGGCAUUUAAGUCAGUGGUGAAAUCUCCGGGCUUAACCCGGAAACUGCCAUUGAUACUAUUUGUCUUGAAUAUUGUGGAGGUAAGCGGAAUAUGUCAUGUAGCGGUGAAAUGCUUAGAUAUGACAUAGAACACCCAUUGCGAAGGCAGCUUACUACGCAAAUAUUGACACUGAGGCACGAAAGCGUGGGGAUCAAACAGGAUUAGAUACCCUGGUAGUCCACGCCCUAAACGAUGGAUACUCGACAUCAGCGAUACACAGUUGGUGUCUGAGAGAAGANAUAUAUCCACCAGGAGACGACCGACGAGUAGAACACAANAGAGUAGAGCGNGAGACGNGACGACGACGACGACGAGGGAGGAGG
rnacentral:rRNA from 1 species